CGCAAUCUCAAAUACGCGCGAAAAUUUUGGAAUUAGUCUAGAUUUAUUUAGUUUUUUUCUUGAGGGCAUUGUUUAGAACUUUUGAAACAUUGGUUUAUGAAAUUACACUUGAUUUUCUAUAAUACAUCGGCUCAUUACAAUUUUACGUUCAUGUCUGUGAUGACAAACUUAUUGUAUAAAAGUAAUUAUUAAAAAACACAAUAUUCUAAUGCAUUUGAAAAAAAUCACUUACAUAGAAGUGCUUGUGGAUAAACUGUUUCAAAUCACCGGGAAUUUUUAUUUAGUUUUGAAAUUAUCUGCAAUGUAUGUUAAAAGCAACGAUUUGUACAAAUUAUUAAAGUAAUUCCGGGCAAAGCUGAGAAAGUAAAAUUUAUAUAUGAUUAUAAACGAUUUCAUGUGACGAGACUUAACAUAACAAGUAAUCUUUGUUAGAGGAGAAAUAAUUCCGCUCAUUAAUUAACAAUGUUAAAUAUUCCGUUUGAAGGAUUAAUUUUAACUUGAAAACCACUACUGGUUUUUGAGUCAUUACUUAUAUUAGAAAAAACAACGAAUGUUUCCUGUUUUUUCUUUCAGAAUAUUAGUCAGAUUAUUGUUUAAGUUACGUGUAACGAAGUAAAGAACAAAACGAUUUGCAUAAAACAAAUAAUUUUAUGUUUAUAGCAUAAUAUAAAGAAGUUUACUUUUAAUUAGUCGUUUUGUAAUUGUGGUUAGUGAUGCAUUGUCAUGAAUGUAAUAUUCAUACUUUCCCAGCAACUAAGGCCCAAAAUUAUAACGAUUUGCAAGUCAAAAUGUUAUUUCAUGUUUGCUAGCAUUGCAAGUGUGUGAAAUACGUGUACCGUUUUAUAGGAUUACUCAGUUAUUUUGCAUAUGUUGCUAUUUAAAUUCUCUUUUAGUAGUCCAGCCUUUUUUUUUCUAUAACCUAUUUUUAUUAUUGCUUUGUGAAUACUUCAGCCUUCGAUAUCUGGGUUGCCAGACGACAUUCGCAUGCCAAUGUUUUAUUUGCUAAAUAUUUGCCAUACAUCUUGUACUAUAUCUUACAAAAAAUUGUUUUUAGACUUUAGAGAACUUCUUUGGUUCUGUGAAUAGAUACAAGAUUAACAGUUCAAGUUACUAGACUAAACAAAUCGUAUGCUUAAUUUACGACAUUGAGACCAGAAAUUCGAAAAGAACCCAUUGAUUCAUCAGAAAUAAAUAGAAUAUUUAUUUGAUUGUGCCUUCAUUUAUUGAGUCGUUGAUUCAUUCAUGGCAAAUCUUCAGGUUUAAAAAAUGUUGCAAAUAAAUGAAGGCGAUAAAAUGCUCUUGGAUCAACACCGAUUACAGUUCUUUAUAUAACUGUGAUGAUGGCUUAUCACUUACAUUAUUACAGGUCAAGGUUAUUGGUCUCGAAAAAGUGCAUUGAUACUUUGUAAUACUUGGAUAUUCCUUUUGUAUGAUACAAUAUGCAUUAGGUCAUUUUAUACGUGUGUAAGUGAGGUAACAUCAGAACUGCAUGUGCUAUUCGCACUUUGUUACAGAAGGUCAGAACUGAAGUUGCUUCUCUUGGGUUGCAAGUACAUUUUAUCAGAUCAUCAUUAAUGGAUUCGUUCAUGGUGUAAAACACGUUGUCAUUUAUUAACUCGGAUUUUCCUUUCCUUAUGGUUGGAAAUGUAGCUUGAUAUCGAUCAACUACUUAUUGGGAGAAAAGUCCUUUUAAAAAAUGCCAAGAUUGAAUUUGCCAAAGAAACUCAAAGCGAAAACAUACCUCAUUUUCAUAACAAGAAUACGUACGUUAUAAACUUUAAAAUAUAUUUUAUUAAUUUAUUAUCCAUGAAUCAUUUAAACAAAUCAUUAAAGAUCGGCCUGGUGUGUUUGAUUUUCAUUUGUCUUGAUAAAUGUUAAAACAUUACAUUGCAUGUUGAAGAACCAAUGUUACAUUAUUAUUUCUUAUUUCGAGUGUGUGCUCACCAAGCAGUAAUUCUCAGCAGUAAGCUCUUAAAUUGAUUGUUUUGAUAUUAAAAUUGGAAAAGUUCCAAUUUCAAAGUUUCAAUGUACUUUUUAAUCCGGCAUCUUGGUGAUUGUUUUCUAUACUUAACAGCAAAUUUUUGCUAAAUCUGCGCUGUGUAAGCGAUUAUUUCGAAAUUCAGUCUCUAGAAGUAAGUUUUUUGGGACACAAUAAUAAAUGCACAACAAUAAUGGGUUGUGGAAAAUUUUUCACACUUACUUUAGAAAUCUUUUUGUAAAAUUUUUGAGUAUUUUUGAUCAGCAACAUGAAAACUGUCUCUGCGUUUGAAAUUGCGUCUUAAAAGUUUAUUUAAUGCUUUUUAGUUUUGGCAGAAUUUCAAUAUAGAGUUAUAAUUCACCUUCAAUAAUAAAAAUGACUGUGGAGCUGCAUAUUUCCUGUCAGUCAGAAAUAAUUGGAUUGGAAGGAAUAAUUGUUUCAAUGUAACAUGCGCACGUCAAUUUUAGUAAAGAUGUAUUUAAAAGUAAUGUUUAAAGAAAAAAUUUUCGGUCACUGAUUUUUCCUAAUAUUGUUGUUUAUUAUAUUUGACAUGUAUUAAUUAGCUAUUGAACCGCGACUGUUUUAUAUUAUAAUUUUGUUGUCAUUUUAUAAUUGGAAAUACUGAUCUAAGAUUGGUAGUCGUCGGUGGACGUCAAUGGGAUUUAAAAUAUUAAUAAAUCUUUUCUUAAUCUUA